rnacentral:rRNA from 1 species
UACGUAGGGACCAAGCGUUGUUCGGAUUUACUGGGCGUAAAGGGCGCGUAGGCGGCUUGACAAGUCACUUGUGAAAUCUCCGGGCUUAACUCGGAACGGCCAAGUGAAACUGUCGAGCUAGAGUGUAGAAGGGGCAAUCGGAAUUCUUGGUGUAGCGGUGAAAUGCGUAGAUAUCAAGAGGAACACCUGAGGUGAAGACGGGUUGCUGGUCUAACACUGACGCUGAGGCGCGAAAGCUAGGGUAGCGAACGGG